AGCGAACGCUGGCGGCAGGCUUAACACAUGCAAGUCGAACGCCCCGCAAGGGGAGUGGCGGACGGGUGAGUAACACGUGGGAACGUACCCUUUGGUUCGGCAUAGCUUGGGGAAACUCAAGCUAAUACCGGAUAAGCCCUUAUGGGGAAAGGUUUACUGCCGAAGGAUCGGCCCUCGUCUGAUUAGCUAGGUGGUGAGGUAAUGGCUCCCCAAGGCGACGAUCAGUAGCUGGUCUGAGAGGAUGAUCAGCCACACUGGGACUGAGACACGGCCCAGACUCCUACGGGAGGCAGCAGUGGGGAAUAUUGGACAAUGGGGGCAACCCUGAUCCAGCCAUGCCGCGUGAGUGAUGAAGGCCUUAGGGUUGUAAAGCUCUUUUACCCGGGACGAUAAUGACUGUACCGGGAGAAUAAGCCCCGGCUAACUUCGUGCCAGCCGCCGCAGUAAAAC
rnacentral:rRNA from 1 species